UUCGGAGGUUGGGGACUCACGGGAGACCGCCGGGGUCAACUCGGAGGAAGGUGGGGACGACGUCAAGUCAUCAUGCCCCUUAUGUCUUGGGCUGCACACGUGCUACAAUGGCCGGUACAAUGAGCUGCGAUACCGCAAGGUGGAGCGAAUCUCAAAAAGCCGGUCUCAGUUCGGAUUGGGGUCUGCAACUCGACCCCAUGAAGUCGGAGUCGCUAGUAAUCGCAGAUCAGCAUUGCUGCGGUGAAUACGUUCCCGGGCCUUGUACACACCGCCCGUCACGUCACGAAAGUCGGUAACACCCGAA
rnacentral:rRNA from 1 species